rnacentral:rRNA from 1 species
UUAGUUGUAACACCGCACGUCCGUGAGUAACCUCUUAUCUCUGGGACGGCCUUGGGAAACUGGGUUUAAUACCGUAUCGGAGCGCCUACCCCUUGGAGGGUGUUGGAAAUAUUUAUCGGUUUUGGAUGGACUAGCGGACUWUCAACUUGUUGGUGAGGWAUGGCUCACCAAGGCGACGACGGAUAGCCAGCCUGCAGGGAGAACGGCCACCUGGGACUGAGACACAGCCCACACUCCUACGGGAGGCAGCAGUGGGGAAUAAUGCUUGRUGGGUGCAAGCCUUAUGCAUCCAUGCCKCGUGGUGAUACAGGCCUUCGGGUUGUAAACCUCUUUCUGUGGGAAAACRAAAGUGACGGUACCUGCCAMAAGCAACGACUUCUCWUGCCAKCACCUGGUAAUAUUUUGGWGCKAGUGUUAUCCGGAAUUAUUGUGCGUAARUAGCUCGUAWUUACUGUAUCUCGUCUGUCCUGAAAKGCCGGGUUUUAACCCCGGAUCUGKKGUGGGUAUCGGCAGACUAAAGUGCWKUAAGGRAAACUGACAUUACUGGUGUAGCGGUGGACGGCGCAGAUAUCAGGAGGAACMMYGAUGGCGAAGGCAGGUCUCUGGGCUGUAACUGACGCUGAGGAGCGAAAGCAUGGGGAGCGAACAGGAUUAGAUACCCUGGUAGUCCAUGCCGUAAACGUUGGGCACUAGGUGUGGGGACCAUUCCACGGUUUCCGCGCCGCAGCUAACGCAUUAAGUGCCCCGCCUGGGGAGUACGGYCGCAAGGCUAAAACUCAAAGGAAUUGACGGGGGCCCGCACAAGCGGCGGAGCAUGCGGAUUAAUUCGAUGCAACGCGAAGAACCUUACCAAGGCUUGACAUGUUCUCGAUCGCCGUAGAGAUACGGUUUCCCUUUUGGGGCGGGUUCACAGGUGGUGCAUGGUUGUCGUCAGCUCGUGUCGUGAGAUGUUGGGUUAAGUCCCGCAACGAGCGCAACCCUCGUUCCAUGUUGCCAGCACGUAAUGGUGGGGAUUCAUGGGAGACUGCCGGGGUCAACUCGGAGGAAGGGGAGGACGACGUCAAAUCAUCAUGCCCCUUAUGUCUUGGGCUUCACGCAU